rnacentral:rRNA from 1 species
CAUGCAAGUCGAGGGGCAGCAUCAUCAAAGCUUGCUUUGAUGGAUGGCGACCGGCGCACGGGUGAGUAACACGUAUCCAACCUGCCGACAACACUGGGAUAGCCUUUCGAAAGAAAGAUUAAUACCGGAUGGUAUAGUUUUCCCGCAUGGGAUGAUUAUUAAAGAAUUUCGGUUGUCGAUGGGGAUGCGUUCCAUUAGGCAGUUGGCGGGGUAACGGCCCACCAAACCUACGAUGGAUAGGGGUUCUGAGAGGAAGGUCCCCCACAUUGGAACUGAGACACGGUCCAAACUCCUACGGGAGGCAGCAGUGAGGAAUAUUGGUCAAUGGACGAGAGUCUGAACCAGCCAAGUAGCGUGAAGGAUGACUGCCCUAUGGGUUGUAAACUUCUUUUAUACGGGAAUAAAGUGAGCCACGUGUGGCUUUUUGUAUGUACCGUAUGAAUAAGGAUCGGCUAACUCCGUGCCAGCAGCCGCGGUAAUACGGAGGAUCCGAGCGUUAUCCGGAUUUAUUGGGUUUAAAGGGAGCGUAGGCGGGUUGUUAAGUCAGUUGUGAAAGUUUGCGGCUCAACCGUAAAAUUGCAGUUGAUACUGGCGACCUUGAGUGCAACAGAGGUAGGCGGAAUUCGUGGUGUAGCGGUGAAAUGCUUAGAUAUCACGAAGAACUCCGAU